UUCCAGUGACCUUAGGAUAUGGUGUUGGAG
rnacentral:piRNA from 1 species